rnacentral:rRNA from 1 species
UACGAAGGGGGCUAGCGUUGUUCGGAUUUACUGGGCGUAAAGCGCACGUAGGCGGAUUGUUAAGUCGGGGGUGAAAUCCUGGAGCUCAACUUCAGAAUUGCCUUCGAUACUGGCUUUCUAGAGGCUGGAAGAGGUUAGUGGACUUCCCAGUGUAGAGGUGAAAUUCGUAGAUAUUGGGAAGAACACCAGUGGCGAAGGCGGCUAACUGGUCCAGAUCUGACGCUGAGGUGCGAAAGCGUGGGGAGCAAACAGG